GUUUUGCUGUAGGCUUGAAGAUCACCAUUAAUUGUGAGAUAUAUAAGAUAGCCAGUUGGCAGAAUUAAGAUUAUAAGAACAUGAAACUAUGAGUAUCUUAUUUUCAAACAACUGAUUAAUUUAGCGUGAGUGAAGCUACUGUGUAAGGCCAUUGGAUAUACCAGACAUACAGCACUUGUGUUUAUACUGCGGUUUUUUUUUUGUUAUACUCCAUCUGAUUCAGUACAAUGUAGACUAUACCGCAUCCAGUUCAAUCUGGUCAAGUCAGGUCUGGUUGAGUCUGACAACUCGUAUAAAAGCGGGCCCCAAAUUCAACUCCAAAUCAGUUCUAGUGCUACCUCGGCCAACGAUACAAUCAUCAUGAAGUUUACUUACAUUUUCCUCGUCCUUGUGGUCAUCGUGCUCGUCUUGAGCGUGGCGGACGCACACGGCAACAAGACAAGGAAGCGCACCCGCGACUUUUCCGGUGAAGACAAGAGGGAGCAUCGCGAAGGACACCGUCAAAAUAGUACUAGAACCAGACGUCCGAGGUCAACCACGACAACCGCCGUGCCUACGACGACCGCCGCACCAGUGCCUACUGCGUAAUCCACAACCAACACGACUACAAUAACCCCUGCAGGAAAGCAUGUUUGAUUAGAGUAAUUCCGAUUACCAAAUGAUGAUCGAGCUAUUCUUAACGGCAAAAACUGUUAAAAGUUCUCUCAUGAAAUAAACCCAGCUUACGAAUCCAUAA